CACCUAAUUUUUUAGAGUAACUUUUGAUCAUUUCAGUGAGUAGCUAUAGUAAACAAAUUCUCUUGUCUCUUUUGUAGUUAUUUUCAGGGUUUAUGACUCGGAUGGCAAUGGGAAGGUGACUUUCAAUGACAUUAUAGAAGUGCUCAGUGAUAUGACUGGUUCAUUCAUGACUGCUGAGCAAAGAGAGGCGGUGUUGACGCAAUUGUUGCAGGAAGCUGGCUACACAAGGGAGUCUUAUUUGAUGCUGGAUGAUUUUGUGAAGGUAUCAUUCAAAAAUAUAAAUCUGAGACAACGAUUUGUUAGUUCAGCUUUAUUGCUGUUUCUCAUCUCAAAGUUGCCUCUAUAUUAUAUUUCAUGUAUCCCCAAUUCCACAUCAUAUCAUAAUAACUCGUGAAUUGAUGUCUUAUUUCCAAUGUGCUUCAAGGUGAUAAGAAAUUUUAGGAGUUGCUGAUCAGAUAAUCAUUUUUUAAAUUGUUGGUAUAUGGCAACAUCUAGAGUUAUGCAUGACAGCCUCCAUGAUCUUCUGUUUUAUAUUGUCAAAAAUAGAGUGCCAAAAAAAAACAGAAAAAAAAGAGAAACCAUACAAAACUGUUUGAUGGCUUGCUAUUUACGGAAUUUUGUGUUGAUUAAACUAUAAAAAUUAGUCUUCUCAUAAUGUAUAGGCCUACCGUUGUUAUGUUCUUUCUUACCAUGAUUUAGCCAGUUAGCCCCAUGCUGUUUUCAGUUUGUGCUAUGUUACCUGUCUAUCAUCCUUGACAUUGUAGGCAUCAAUUCUUUUAGGGCAGCUUUAACCUCUAAAAGUAGGAAGCUUCUUUUCAAAGAUAUUUUGUAUUGGAUAAUCUUUUCAAGAGUUACAAAUGAAGUUUUUUUUUCCAAGUAAUUAUGUUUGAUCCUUUUCUGUCCAUGAUAAGUUCUACUGAUAACUGUUGAAUAUGAACUCUGAAACUUGACAAAAAGCAUUCUAAAUAUGCAUCCUUUGUUUUCUUGAGUUGGGAAGUUCUAGGAAGUACAACUUCCUCUCCGACACCUAGUGUUUGUCUUGGAUAGUGCUGAACAUUCCAAACACCGAGCAAUGCAAAGUUGAUGUAUUUCCCUGUAAUAGUAUCUGCCCGUGUUUGCUCAUGUGAAAUGCAAAUAGGUGGGAGCUACAAAUUGAUUGCUUGGAAAGAAAUAUAGAAUAAUUGGAAUUUGAGUGUUACUGUUUAUAUGUAGUAUUAAUAUUAAUGUUUGUGCUGAUGACUUGGAAGUUUUUGUAUUUGUUGUCACUUGUGAGCAACUUUUGAUGCAACUUUAUAAUAUAUUUUUGAGUUACUCCAUGCUGAUUUAGGUGAGUAUAUUUGUAAAAACAUUUGUAUAGAUUUCUAGAGCUCGUAUUUCUUUGCAUCAUAUGGACUGUCUUCAGUGAUUUCACGAGCACCUAUUUGCUAUUGAAUUCUGUGUGAUUGUGCCUCUUAAACCUCUUUGCACAGCUCUUUAUCCAAACCUGACCGAAUUUUCUGGUCAUACUCAGAUUUUGCAAAUUCGGACAUGAAGAUGGAUGUAGAGAUUCCAAUAGAUUAAGCAUGCAUUUGAAAGACGGCACUUAUUAAUAAUCAGAAACAGAUGUUGCUAGAAUGUGUUGUGGAGCAACUGUGAACUUUAUAAUAAUAUGGACACACUAUAUCAUGCAAAAGCAAAUGGAUUAGUUGCUUCAUUGAAUUGGGUUUAGAUUUUUUUUUUCUUUUUUUCUCUUUUAAAAAAAAAAGAAAAUAUAUUGUGAAGCUGACAAUUUCUUUUUCUAGUGCGAAGUGCAUCAUUAGUUAUUAGCUAACAGCCUUCAGGCCAGUAUCUUCAUAGCAUACACUGGGUAAAUGCACAUUUACGGUUUCUGUCUUUAGAUUAUCAUAUCUGAUGUAUCGAUCAUACAUACACACGUCUGUUUAUUUUAAGAUUUGCAAUAUUACCUUUUCUUUGCCUUCAAAGAAGUUUUACCUCA